UACAACCAUAUCUCGUUCAAACACCGGUUCUCGUACGAUUACUGAAGUUAAGAAACGUCGUGUCUGGUCAGUACCGAGAUGGGUGACCGCUUGGGAAGACCAGGUGUUGUAA